UGGCGGACGGGUGAGUAAUGUCUAGGAAACUGCCUGAUGGAGGGGGAUAACUACUGGAAACGGUAGCUAAUACCGCAUAACGUCGCAAGACCAAAGAGGGGGACCUUAGGGCCUCUUGCCAUCGGAUGUGCCCAGAUGGGAUUAGCUAGUAGGUGGGGUAAAGGCUCACCUAGGCGACGAUCCCUAGCUGGUCUGAGAGGAUGACCAGCCACACUGGAACUGAGACACGGUCCAG
rnacentral:rRNA from 1 species